GUAAAGCGUCCGCAGGUGGUUUGUCAAGUCUGUUGUCAAAGCGUGGGGCUUAACCCCAUAACGGCAAUGGAAACUGAGAGACUAGAGUACGGUAGGGGUAGCGGGAAUUCCCAGUGUAGCGGUGAAAUGCGUAGAUAUUGGGAAGAACACCAGCGGCGAAGGCGCGCUACUGGGCCGAAACUGACACUCAUGGACGAAAGCUAGGGGAGCGAAAGGGAUUAGAUACCCCUGUAGUCCUAGCUGUAAACGAUGACAACUAGGUGUUGCGCGUAUCGACCCGUGCAGUGCCGUAGCUAACGCGUUAAGUUGUCCGCCUGGGGAGUACGCACGCAAGUGUGAAACUCAAAGGAAUUGACGGGGGGCCCCGCACAAAGCGGUGGGAAGUAUGUGGUUAAUUCGAUGCAACGCGAAGAACCUUACCAAGGCUUGACAUGUCGCGAAUCUUCUUGAAAGGGAAGAGUGCCUUCGGGAGCGCGAACACAGGUGGUGCAUGG
rnacentral:rRNA from 1 species